GAUGAACGCUGGCGGCGUGCCUAAUACAUGCAAGUCGAACGAAGCACUUCGGUGCUUAGUGGCGAACGGGUGAGUAACACGUAGGUAACCUGCCCUCAAGACGAGGAUAACCGUUGGAAACGAUGGCUAAGACUGGAUAGGAACCGAGGAGGCAUCUUCUUGGUUUUAAAGGACCUGGCAACAGGUACGCUUGAGGAGGGGCCUGCGGCGCAUUAGUUAGUUGGCGGGGUGAAGGCCCACCAAGACGAUGAUGCGUAGCCGGACUGAGAGGUUGAACGGCCACAUUGGGACUGAGAGACGGCCCAAACUCCUACGGGAGGCAGCAGUAGGGAAUUUUCGGCAAUGGGGGCAACCCUGACCGAGCAACGCCGCGUGAACGACGAAGUACUUCGGUAUGUAAAGUUCUUUUAUCAGGGAAGAAUGGCUUACGGAAAAGUGAGCGUGACGGUACCUGAUGAAUAAGCCCCGGCUAACUAUGUGCCAGCAGCCGCGGUAAUACAUAGGGGGCAAGCGUUAUCCGGAAUUAUUGGGCGUAAAGGGUGCGUAGGUGGCCGUUUAAGUCUUUGGUGUAAGUGCAAGGCUCAACCUUGUGAUGCUAAAGAAACUGAAUGGCUUGAGUGUGGUAGAGGCAAGUGGAAUUCCAUGUGUAGCGGUAAAAUGCGUAAAUAUAUGGAGGAACACCGGUGGCGAAGGCGGCUUGCUGGGCCACAACUGACACUGAGGCACGAAAGCGUGGGGAGCAAACA
rnacentral:rRNA from 1 species